rnacentral:rRNA from 1 species
GACGAACGCUGGCGGCGUGCUUAACACAUGCAAGUCGAACGGAAAGGCCCCUUUGGGGGUACUCGAGUGGCGAACGGGUGAGUAACACGUGAGUAACCUGCCCUUGACUUCGGGAUAACUUCAGGAAACUGGGGCUAAUACCGGAUAGGAAUCCUUGCUGCAUGGUGGGGGUUGGAAAGCUUCGGCGGUUUUGGAUGGACUCGCGGCUUAUCAGCUUGUUGGUGGGGUAGUGGCUUACCAAGGCUUUGACGGGUAGCCGGCCUGAGAGGGCGACCGGCCACAGUGGAACAGAAUAGAGCCCGACACCCCGACGGGGGGCAAAAGGGGGAAAUAUGGCAAAAGGGGGGGACCUGUGGUACAGAACGCCCGGGGGGGGAGUGAGGCCCUUGGUGUUGAACACCGUUUAAAGCAGGGGAAGAGCGUGGGGUGAGGGUACCUGAAAAAGAAGACCCGGCAAACCACGUG